rnacentral:lncRNA from 1 species
GAGUCACUCUGCGGUCUCCUUUACAGGGAACGGACAGCCUUCCCCUGUGCAGGGCUCAGUGGGACAAAGCACAGCCGGCCAGGGAUGGAAGGGAAUCCAGCAGGCCCGGGUCAGCACUGCCCUGGAGACCCCACUUCUGCCCACAGUGAUGCCAAGAGCCCAAUUUUCUCGGCGCCCUGUUGCUCAGAGUUGCAAGCAGGCUGAGGCAGGGCUCAUACCUUCCAAAGACUUGGGGCCACAGUGGCCAAGUGCCCCUGGGUGCCGACCACCUUCACACCAUCCCCUCCUGCAGGGUGGGAAUGCAGGCCCCAGAGGGGUCCAGGAGGGAGUCUGUGCGGAUGGGGCGGCUGUCCAGGAAGUCCCAUUCUGGGGGCUCCCUCAGGGGCCGCUGCAUGCCUGCCAGCACCGUCCUCACCAUGCAGUCCUCUGCCCGGCUCUCCUCCCGUUGGGCCCCAAUCUGUGACGGAACAGAGGGGAGACAUGGAACUGGGGCCCACCCAGGCCAUCAGGAGGGCUGGAGGCCGAAGCCCAGACCACUCUGCAAGUCGCCAUCAUGGCUCAUACCAGAAGGGGCACAAGUGGGCCCGGCAGAAAAGCGAUGCAUGUUAGAAGGUCUUCUUCAAGCAGUAACACCAGGCUGGGAUCCCUGCGCGCUGCUCCUCCUCAGUGGUGGCACCGUCAUGGGGGUGGAGCACAGCUGUCCCGCAUCCUCUGCUGAUGGCCAUUCAUUCGGCUCCCAGGGUUGACCACUGAGCAGUUCCCACCAGCAUCACUCAGGCAGGUGUCUUUUCAACCAUGGAUUCUUCUUCCAGGAGACACACUUGCAUGUCUGUUUAUUUGCUUUAUAUCACUAUUUUUUGCCUACUUUUUUAUUUACAACAUUUCAUUCCCCUUUGAUGUUUCUAAUGAAAUCUAAUAAUUCGGGUUAUUAUCUUUAAAAAAAAAAAAAGGAAGGGAAUUCUUACGCAUGCUACACCAUGGAUGACCCUUGAGGGCACUAUGCUAAGUGAAGUUAUCCUAUUACCAAAAACAAAUAGUACAGAAUUCCACUCACUGAAGGUACUUGGAGAAGUCAAAAUCAUAGAGACAGACAGUAGACUGGUGGUUGCCAGGGACUAGAAGGAAGUAGAAAUGGGGCAUUAUAGUUUAAUGGCUAAAGGGUUUUGGUUUUACGGGAUGAAUGGGUGUUGGGGAUAGAUGGUGGUGAUGGUUGUACAAAACUAUAAAUGUACUUCAUACCACUAAACUGUGACAUAAUAAAAACAUGGGACAAAAAAAAGAAAGUGGACUUUAUUUUGAUGCAACAGUACUCUGGAACUAUGGGCUAAGUUGAGGCCAAUGGUUAAAUCCUGGCCUUGAUGUUGGAGAUGAAAAACCCUGGUUUGUUAUGGUUCUCUCUGUGGGUGACAGUUCUUUUGCAUUAAAUUCAGUAUGUGUUGCUGAGUCCCUAACCUCGUCCUGGCACCGAGCUCAGAGCUGAGACACAGGCACUAACAGGGCGGUCUUUGCCCUCAGUGUCACCUGGGAGAGAUGGGGGGAGAGCUCUCAGUGCAGUGUGUUGAGUGCAGUUACACCAGCCUGUUCAAGUAAUCCAAAAGAGGGAGCGAGCGCCUCUAUUUGUGGGAUGAGGAUAGACUUCCCAAAAGACAGGGAUGUUACCAUGGGUUUUAAGGGAUAAAUAGGAGUUUGCCAAACAGUGAAAAAGGAAAUUGUCUGAUGA